rnacentral:rRNA from 1 species
CCUACGGGGGGCUGCAGUGGGGAAUAUUGGACAAUGGGGGGAACCCUGAUCCAGCCAUGCCGCGUGUGUGAAGAAGGCCCUCGGGUUGUAAAGCACUUUCAGUGAGGAAGAACGCCUGGUGGUUAAUACCCAUCAGGAAAGACAUCACUCACAGAAGAAGCACCGGCUAACUCCGUGCCAGCAGCCGCGGUAAUACGGAGGGUGCGAGCGUUAAUCGGAAUUACUGGGCGUAAAGCGCGCGUAGGUGGCUUGAUAAGCCGGUUGUGAAAGCCCCGGGCUCAACCUGGGAACGGCAUCCGGAACUGUCAAGCUAGGGUGCAGGAGAGGAAGGUAGAAUUCCCGGUGUAGCGGUGAAAUGCGUAGAGAUCGGGAGGAAUACCAGUGGCGAAGGCGGCCUUCUGGACUGACACUGACACUGAGGUGCGAAAGCGUGGGUAGCAAACAGGAUUAGAUACCCUUGUAGUC